AUAAUCAUUAGUCUUUUAAUUGGAGGCUUGUAUGAAUGGUUGGACAAAAAGCAAACUGUCUCAAUUAUAUUAAUUGAAUUUAACUUUUAAGUGAAAAGGCUUAAAUAAACUAAAGGGACGAUAAGACCCUAUAAAGCUUUACAAUUAUUUAAUUAAAUUAUAAAUUGUUAGUAUAACUUAAUUUAAUUGAUAUUUGUUUCGUUGGGGCGACGAGAAUAUAAUUUUAUAUAACUGUUCUUUUGUAAUUAAUUACAAAUUUGUUUGGGUAAAAAUUGAUCCUUUAUUAGAGAUUAAAAGAUUAAGUUACUUUAGGGAUAACAGCGUAAUCUUCUUUGAGAGUCCAUAUCGACAAGAAGGGUUGCGACCUCGAUGUUGAAUU
rnacentral:rRNA from 1 species